AUACGUAGGGGGCGAGCGUUGUCCGGAAUGAUUGGGCGUAAAGGGCGCGUAGGCGGCCCGGUAAGUCUGGAGUGAAAGUCCUGUUUUUAAGAUGGGAAUUGCUUUGGAUACUGUCGGGCUUGAGUGCAGGAGAGGUAAGUGGAAUUCCCAGUGUAGCGGUGAAAUGCGUAGAGAUUGGGAGGAACACCAGUGGCGAAGGCGACUUACUGGACUGUAACUGACGCUGAGGCGCGAAAGUGUGGGUAGCAAACAGGAUUGGAUACCCUGGUAGUCCACACUGUAAACGAUGAAUGCUAGGUGUAGGGGGUAUCGACCCCUUCUGUGCCGCAGUCAACACAAUAAGCAUUCCGCCUGGGGAGUACGGCCGCAAGGUUGAAACUCAAAGGAAUUGACGGGG
rnacentral:rRNA from 1 species